CACGUAGGGCGCAAGCGUGUCCGGAAUUAUUGGGCGUAAAGAGCUCGUAGGCGGUCUGUUGCGUCCGCUGUGAAAACUCGGGGCUUAACCCCGAGCCUGCAGUGGAUACGGGCAGACUAGAGGUAGGUAGGGGAGAAUGGAAUUCCCGGUGUAGCGGUGAAAUGCGCAGAUAUCAGGAGGAACACCGGUGGCGAAGGCGGGUCUCUGGGCAGUAACUGACGCUGAGGAGCGAAAGCGUGGGGAGCGAACAGG
rnacentral:rRNA from 1 species